rnacentral:rRNA from 1 species
UACAGAGGUCUCAAGCGUUGUUCGGAUUCACUGGGCGUAAAGGGUGCGUAGGUGGUGAGGUAAGUCGGAUGUGAAAUCUCGGAACUCAACUCCGAAAUGGCAUUGGAAACUACCUUGCUCGAGGGUUGGAAGGGGGACUGGAAUACUUGGUGUAGCAGUGAAAUGCGCAGAUAUCAGGAAGAACACCCGUGGCGAAGGCGGCUCUCUGGGACGGUACUGACGCUGAGACGCGAAAGCGUGGGGAGCGAACAGG